AUUGAACGCUGGCGGAAUGCUUUACACAUGCAGGUCGAACGGUAGAGGGGGCAACCCCUCGAGAGUGGCGAACGGGUGAGUAAUAUAUCGGAACGUGCCCAGUCGUGGGGGAUAACGUAGCGAAAGUUACGCUAGUACCGCAUACGAUCUAAGGAUGAAAGCGGGGGAUCGCAAGACCUCGCGCGAUUGGAGCGGCCGAUAUCAGAUUAGGUAGUUGGUGGGGUAAAGGCUGACCAAGCCAACGAUCCGUAGCUGGUCUGAGAGGACGACCAGCCACACUGGAACUGAGACACGGUCCAGACUCCUACGGGAGGCAGCAGUGGGGAAUUUUGGACAAUGGACGCAAGUCUGAUCCAGCCAUUCCGCGUGCAGGAUGAAGGCCCUCGGGUUGUAAACUGCUUUUGUACGGAACGAAAAGGUCUCUCUUAAUACGGGGGACUCAUGACGGUACCGUAAGAAUAAGCACCGGCUAACUACGUGCCAGCAGCCGCAGUAA
rnacentral:rRNA from 1 species